rnacentral:rRNA from 1 species
CCUACGGGUGGCUGCAGUGGGGAAUAUUGCGCAAUGGAGGGAACUCUGACGCAGCAACGCCGCGUGAAGGAUGAAGGUUUUCGGAUUGUAAACUUCUUUGAUCGGGGACGAAAAUGACGGUACCCGAGGAACAAGCCACGGCUAACUACGUGCCAGCAGCCGCGGUAAUACGUAGGGGGCGAGCGUUAUCCGGAAUUACUGGGUGUAAAGGGGGCGUAGGUGGCUGCUUAAGCGUGAGGUGAAAGGCAAUGGCUUAACCAUUGUGAGCCUCUCGAACUGGGUGGCUUGAGUGCAGGAGAGGAAAGCGGAAUUCCUAGUGUAGCGGUGAAAUGCGUAGAUAUUAGGAGGAACACCAGUGGCGAAGGCGGCUUUCUGGACUGCAACUGACACUGAGGCACGAAAGCGUGGGGAGCAAACAGGAUUAGAUACCCCAGUAGUC